UAGGGUAAGGAUCUAAUUUGGUAGAAAGAAUGGGGAAACAAAUUAAGUUAGAUCUUUAUUUAUUGUAUGCCUUCUAAGUAUUGAAAACUACAUUACUAUAUGUAGUCUAUAGUAAUAAACACUAAGAAUAGUCUCCUCUGAACUAUGGGAUUUAGCAACUCCGAGAGAAAACAUACUAUACAAGUUUGAUGAAUGCUAUGGAAAAGUGCCAAUUUCUAAGGUAGUGUGUAUGUAGACUAAUCAAUUAUUCUAUUGAAAAAUUGAUUAUGUAAAAGGAGGUACUUUGGUUGGAGUGAAGAAAAAUUCAGUUUAAAACAACAACAACAACAGGAAGUUCCAGUCAUGGCACAGAGGAAAGGAAUCCAACUAGGAACUAUGAGGUUGCGGAUUCGAUCCCUGGCCUUCCUCAGUGGGUUAAGGAUUUGGCAUUGCCGUGAGCUGUGGUCUAGGUCACAAAUAUGGCUCAAAUCUGGUGCUGCUGUGGCUGUGGUGAAGGUCGGCAGCUGCAGCUCUGAUUCGACCCUAGCCUGGGAACAUCCAAACGCUGCGGGUGUGGCCCUAAAAAGCAAAAUGAGAACAACAACAAAUAUUUAUUAUCUCAGAGUGUCUGUGGGUCAAAAUUUGGGUGUGGCUUAGUUGGGUCCUCUGUUGCAGGAUCUCUCACAAUGGUGAAACAAGGUGUUGGCAGUCAAAUAGGGCUGAAAUCUCACUCGACUGCACAAAGAUUCAUUUCCAAGCUCCAGUCAGGUGAUUGUUGGAAGGAUUUAGCUCCUCCUCCAUUUCUGAACCAGGCCUCCACUUCUUUAUUGAGGAUUCAGUUCGUUACAGGCUGCUGGCUGGAGGCUUCCCUCAGUUCCUUGGCAUACAGGCCAGGAGAAUUCAGUUUUACUCUGGGGAUGCCUAGAAAGGUGCUUUGCACUGAGAAGUCACUAAUAACUACUGACAAAUUUGCCAAACAAUCAGGACAUAUAUUUUGAGUUUUCAUUAAAAACACUAAGAUUGUAUCUACAAGAUUAAAGCAAGACUAUUUGAAUAACACACCUUGCAACACAUUCAUGUGGCUUAAAUACGUGUUUAUAUUACUGGAAAAAUACACAAUGGUUUUGUACAUUUGUCUAUUUGUACUAGGGCAUGUAUAUACUCUACUUCUAGAUCCAGCAUUAUCUUACCACACACUGUAGAUAACUACUUGUAUAAAACCUCUGGUUCAAUAAUAAAGUGCGUAGACUGGAUUCUAGACAAAAGGUAGAGUCUGAGAGAGGGGGUGGCAGUCAGGAAUCUCAAGUUCUAUUUUUGGUUAUUUCUGUAUCUACCAGACUUUGAAUGAGGCACAUAACCUCAGUUUCUCUAAACCUUAUUAUUAUUUACCACAUAGAACUGGUAUGAUGAGCUCUCUCUCUCAACAAUGGUGUAACACUUGUUGUUUGUAACAAAAUAUGAAGUACACAGAUGUUUCUAAAUAAAUGCCAAGUAUUCAG
rnacentral:lncRNA from 9 species